rnacentral:lncRNA from 10 species
GUCAAGAUGGCCGAAUACGAACAGCUCAGGUCUACAGCUCCCAGCGUGAGCGACGCAGAAGACGGGUGAUUUCUGCAUUUCCAUCUGAGCUGCUGCAGAUGCUGUUUGAAGAAGCUCUGCCCCUCAGCUGCUCUGAUCCUGUGCUUAGCACUCUUAGCCUGGUGCAGGGCCUGCUGUCUGCUCACUCUCACCAUGUCCUGCCCAGGGCCUGACCCUCCUGAGGGGCCCGGGACCCAGCGUGUGUGGCAAGGGGCUCUACGGAUCCUACAGCUCCCAGGAGCCCCAGAUGGGGUUUCACCAUAUCAGCCAGGCUGGUCUCGAACUCCUGACCUCAAGUGAUUCGCCAGCCUCGUCCUCCCAAAGUGCUGGGAUUACAGGUGUGAGCCACCAUGCCCAUGGAGAAUGUAUUACUUUUGUAAUUUAAAAAAUAAUAGUAAUAAAAUAAAGAUCUGUA